AAGAGAAUAAUUUAAUUGGUAAAAUAAUAGUUUCCAAAACUAUUUUUCGAAGUUCAAGUCUUCGUUCUCUUG
rnacentral:tRNA from 1 species